rnacentral:rRNA from 1 species
AUGGCUUCCCUGCUCAUACCGCUGCUGGGCCGCGUGGCGGCCAAGGCCGGGGACGCGCUGGUGGCCGAGCUGCUGCGGGCGUGGGGGCUGGACAAGGCCCGCCGGAAACUGGAGCGCCACCUCGCCGCCGUCCAGUGCGUCCUGCUGGACGCCGACGCCAAGAGCCGCACAAACCCGGCCGUCCGCCAUUGGGUCAAGGACCUCAAGACCGCCGCCUACCAGGCCGACGACGUCCUCGACGGCUUCCGCUACGAGGCGCUGCGCCGCCGUGCCGCCCAGAUACGCCCCAGCUCCACGGCACACAAGAUGCUGAGCUACUUCACUGUCAAUAGCCCGGUUGUUUUCCGUCUCUCAAUGAGCAAGAAGAUGAAGAAUUGCCUUGAUAUGAUAGAUGAGCUGGUUGUGGAGAUGAACAAUUUCCACUUCCUACAACACGCCGAUGCACCAAGCAUUGUUCACCCGCAAACACACUCUCAUGUUGAUGAACUAGAGGUUGUUGGCAGACAAGAUGAGAAGGAACGGGUGGUCAAGAUAUUGCUACAUCACUCUCGCAACAACAAUAGUGAUAACAAUGUCAUGGUGCUCCCCAUAGUUGGUAUGGGGGGAAUUGGUAAGACCACCCUUGCUCAACUUGUGCACAAUGACCAAAGGGUUGUGCAUCACUUUGAGUUGGUCUUAUGGGUAUGCAUCUCUGACAAGUUUGUUAUUGAAGAAAUAAUACGAUCUAUAAUAGAAGUCGCCACGAUGACCAAAUGUGAUUCCACUAAGAUGGAGGCACUGCGGAAGCAACUUGGUGAAGUGUUGGGCAGGAGAAGGUACCUCAUAAUUUUGGAUGAUGUUUGGAAUGAAGAUAGACAGAAGUGGGAUGAUAUGAGAUCAUUGUUGUGCUCACAUGCUGGCUCAGGUAGUGCCAUAAUUGUGACAAGUCGCAGCGAUCAAGUUGCUUCUAUCAUGGGCACACUUCCUCCACGCCAGAUAUCACUUCUAGAUGAGGAUCAAUCAUGGGAGCUUUUUCAUAGAAACACAUUUGGAAGAGGAGUGGAAAAGCAAGAGGAAUUGAUUUUAACGGCUAAGAAUAUUGUCCAUAAGUGUAAGGGAUUGCCUCUUGCUAUCAAAACAAUGGCAGCUUUACUUCUCUCAAAGCAUCACAAUCAGUGGCUUGCUGUUCUAGAUAGUGAUGUCUGGAAGAAUGGCAUUCUCGCAACUGGGAUUGUACCUGCCCUACAACUGAGCUAUGAUCACUUGUCAUCAGAAGAGAAAAUAUGUUUUUCCUUCUGUGCUAUUUUCCCAAAAGAUAGCCCGAUGGAUAAAGACAUGUUAAUCCAACUAUGGAUUGCAAAUGACUUUAUUGCAUCAGAAACAAGAGGCCAGGAAAUUUUUGAUGUGCUAGUUUGGAGAUGUUUCCUCCAAUUAGAUGUGGAUAUUGGAGAGAAUUGGCUCUCUGAAUUUCGAGAUGAGUCCAUCCACCGAACUACUUGCAAGAUGCAUGAUCUUAUGCAUGAUCUUGCUGACUUCGUAAGCGGAAAUGAUUGUUUCAUUUUGCAAGAAUCUUCAUUAUCUCAAAAAAUUGUGCAAGGGUCCACAUAUGCUACUUCCUUGCAGCAUGAGGUUCGACAUUUGUCACUUGAUCAUGUUAGUACUUAUACUGUUGCAGCCAUGGAGGAAAUUAUCGCUCCUCGGCCCCGCACAAUAUUAAUCCAAAGGGAGUGGACUAGGAAUCCUCUGAGUAUGGCGAAGUCAACAUUCGUGUCUUUACGAGCAUUGAAGACCUUCUCAAUCAAGACACAUAUGACAAACAUGAAGCAUCUUCGUUAUUUAGAUUGUUCUUAUUCCCUUAUAUCUGCAUUGCCUGAAGCCACUACCAUGCUGUAUAGCUUGCAAACAUUAAAGCUCAUUGGUUGUCGAUACCUGAAGAAACUGCCAGAAGAGCUGAGAUAUAUGAGCAGUCUUCGACACAUCUUACUCGCUGGGUGUCAUCGUUUGGAGCGCAUGCCACAAGGUAUUGGUCAGAUGAAUUCUCUACAUACAUUGACGAGUUUUGUCAUUGUUAGUGAUGCAGGCUGCGGAAUUGAUCAACUGAAAGACUUGAAUCUAGGUGGUGCUCUUUCUUUGACUGAGCUGAGAAAAGUGCAUAGUCCAGAAAAUGCUAAACAAGGCAAUAUGUCCGCAAAGCAUAAUUUGAAACGAUUAUCACUCGAUUGGGCAAGUGGAUCUUCCAGCACACAUGUUGGAUAUGAAGUAGAUACUAAUGCAGAAGGAAUAUUAGAUGCUCUUCAUCCUCACAAAAUGCUUGAAGUUUUACUAUUAUCUAAUUAUACUGGUGCUAAAUUUUCACCAUGGAUGCACAACUCUCCACUGUUAGAACAUCUGAGCGAACUUUCUCUAAGUAGCUGCCCAAACUGCAAGGAUCUUCCACCAUUAUGGAAACUUCCUUCUCUCGGAUAUUUGAGUUUGGAUGGUUUGCAUAGCUUGAGAAGUAUAUGUGUUGGUAAUGAUGAUAAAGAUAAUGUGGAAUCCUGCAUUUCCCCACCACUCUUCUUUCCUAAAUUGGAAACCAUGAUAGUUUCUAACAUGCCUAAGCUACGGAGAUGGCACCAGGAGGUGGCAGGACAAGUAGCGGUUGUAUCAUUCCCUCAUCUCAAGAAGCUACAUAUUUAUGGAUGCCCAAUGCUAGCAAGCAUGCCCAAGAUGCUUCCUUUGCUUGAAGAUCUACUGGUGAAGAAGGCAAGACACAUUCCCCUUUAUCAUCUGAUGAAUCUGUGUGUGCAAUCUAAUCUUGAGUGCAGAGGCUCCAUUGAAGUGAAGCCUACAGUUGGCUGGCUGCCUAUUGGUGACCUUCACUUCUUGAAGCCUGGUGACCUGACACUAAGACUCAGAUUUUUGACGGAAAUUGUAGCGCGCUUUGAAGAGGAGCUAAACAGAAUACCUUGCAGAUUUAUUAAGAAGCUAAGUAUAGAAUCUUGUGGCUGUCUUUUCUCAUCUGAACCAUCCCAAAUACAACGGAAUAUAUGGAACUAUUUUGGUUUUAUUGAAUGGUUGUGCAUUAAAGGUAGCAAUAAUAUAGUACAAUGGCCAGUGGUAGAAAUAAAAAACUUGAAUAGUCUUCGAGCUCUGCACUUGAUAGAGUGUUUCAACUUAACUGGAUCAGUUCCAUCAACAAUAUCUGAAGACGAAGAAGUCCUGCCUCAUCGACUCCUAGAACUUUCAAUUGUACGAAGUGGAAAUUUGGUGGAGGUACCAAAGUUGCCUGAAUCUCUUGAAACAUUGCUCAUUGCUUCUUGUCCCAAGUUGGUGUGCAUGCCAAAGAAUCUUGGGAACAUGAAGAAACUGAGAGAACUCAGUGUACAUGUGUGCGAUGCCCUGGCGGCAUUUCCAGAUGGAAUGUAUGGAUUCACUGCACUCAAGCGGCUGGAUAUGCAGGGGUGCCCAAGGUUAGAGGCACUACCGGAGGGACUCCUGCAGCAGCUCCAAGCCCUCGAGGGACUAAGGAUCCUUGACUGCCCCAAGUUGGACGGAGCCCUCUCAAUAGGAGGCGCUUACUGGCAUUUGGUUCAAGCAAUUCGACAUAGAUAUGUUGGCAAUUCCACAGAGUAUUCCCACAGCAGCGCUAAUUGGUUUGCUAGACUAUGA